UUUUAUGAGAGUUUGAUCCUGGCUCAGGACGAACGCUGGCGGCGUGCCUAAUACAUGCAAGUCGUACGCUUCUUUUUCCACCGGAGCUUGCUCCACCGGAAAAAGAAGAGUGGCGAACGGGUGAGUAACACGUGGGUAACCUGCCCAUCAGAAGGGGAUAACACUUGGAAACAGGUGCUAAUACCGUAUAACAAUCGAAACCGCAUGGUUUUGAUUUGAAAGGCGCUUUCGGGUGUCGCUGAUGGAUGGACCCGCGGUGCAUUAGCUAGUUGGUGAGGUAACGGCUCACCAAGGCCACGAUGCAUAGCCGACCUGAGAGGGUGAUCGGCCACAUUGGGACUGAGACACGGCCCAAACUCCUACGGGAGGCAGCAGUAGGGAAUCUUCGGCAAUGGACGAAAGUCUGACCGAGCAACGCCGCGUGAGUGAAGAAGGUUUUCGGAUCGUAAAACUCUGUUGUUAGAGAAGAACAAGGAUGAGAGUAACUGUUCAUCCCUUGACGGUAUCUAACCAGAAAGCCACGGCUAACUACGUGCCAGCAGCCGCGGUAAUACGUAGGUGGCAAGCGUUGUCCGGAUUUAUUGGGCGUAAAGCGAGCGCAAGCGGUUUCUUAAGUCUGAUGUGAAAGCCCCCGGCUCAACCGGGGAGGGUCAUUGGAAACUGGGAGACUUGAGUGCAGAAGAGGAGAGUGGAAUUCCAUGUGUAGCGGUGAAAUGCGUAGAUAUAUGGAGGAACACCAGUGGCGAAGGCGGCUCUCUGGUCUGUAACUGACGCUGAGGCUCGAAAGCGUGGGGAGCAAACAGGAUUAGAUACCCUGGUAGUCCACGCCGUAAACGAUGAGUGCUAAGUGUUGGAGGGUUUCCGCCCUUCAGUGCUGCAGCUAACGCAUUAAGCACUCCGCCUGGGGAGUACGACCGCAAGGUUGAAACUCAAAGGAAUUGACGGGGGCCCGCACAAGCGGUGGAGCAUGUGGUUUAAUUCGAAGCAACGCGAAGAACCUUACCAGGUCUUGACAUCCUUUGACCACUCUAGAGAUAGAGCUUCCCCUUCGGGGGCAAAGUGACAGGUGGUGCAUGGUUGUCGUCAGCUCGUGUCGUGAGAUGUUGGGUUAAGUCCCGCAACGAGCGCAACCCUUAUUGUUAGUUGCCAUCAUUCAGUUGGGCACUCUAGCAAGACUGCCGGUGACAAACCGGAGGAAGGUGGGGAUGACGUCAAAUCAUCAUGCCCCUUAUGACCUGGGCUACACACGUGCUACAAUGGGAAGUACAACGAGUCGCGAAGUCGCGAGGCUAAGCUAAUCUCUUAAAGCUUCUCUCAGUUCGGAUUGCAGGCUGCAACUCGCCUGCAUGAAGCCGGAAUCGCUAGUAAUCGCGGAUCAGCACGCCGCGGUGAAUACGUUCCCGGGCCUUGUACACACCGCCCGUCACACCACGAGAGUUUGUAACACCCGAAGUCGGUGAGGUAACCUUUUUGGAGCCAGCCGCCUAAGGUGGGAUAGAUGAUUGGGGUGAAGUCGUAACAAGGUAGCCGUAUCGGAAGGUGCGGCUGGAUCACCUCCUUU
rnacentral:rRNA from 1 species